AGUGAACGCUGGCGGUAGGCCUAACACAUGCAAGUCGAACGGCAGCACAGUAAGAGCUUGCUCUUACGGGUGGCGAGUGGCGGGCGGGUGAGGAAUACAUCGGAAUCUACUUUUUCGUGGGGGAUAACGUAGGGAAACUUACGCUAAUACCGCAUACGACCUACGGGUGAAAGCAGGGGAUCUUCGGACCUUGCGCGAUUGAAUGAGCCGAUGUCGGAUUAGCUAGUUGGCGGGGUAAAGGCCCACCAAGGCGACGAUCCGUAGCUGGUCUGAGAGGAUGGUCAGCCACACUGGAACUGAGACACGGUCCAGACUCCUACGGGAGGCAGCAGUGGGGAAUAUUGGACAAUGGGCGCAAGCCUGAUCCAGCCAUACCGCGUGGGUGAAGAAGGCCUUCGGGUUGUAAAGCCCUUUUGUUGGGAAAGAAAAGCAGCAGGUUAAUACCCCGCUGUUCUGACGGUACCCAAAGAAUAAGCACCGGCUAACUUCGUG
rnacentral:rRNA from 1 species